UUUGCUGGAAAAGAAAACAGCAGAAGCCAAGGUAAAUAACAUCUUUGUGUGGCGUGUUGCAGCUGUCACAGCCGCCAGCAGACAGCCGACUCCCUCACCAGUAAACACCGCGGCUUAGGUGUUGCCCACCGGGCACCGGAAGGCGGCCCCCUUCUCGCUCUCCAGUGAAUGUUCCUAAAACAACUGCGGGGUCCAAGAGCACAGGGAGAACAGCGCCCCUGACGCAGGCUGCGCACCCGCCCGGAGGAGGCAGUGCGUCAGUCCUGAGGUCACCGCCACCCGCUCCCGGGGGACGGCCGCCUGGGCAGGUGAGGAGGCGACCACCUCCCAGACGCCUGCCGGAGCUGCGGCGCACCGACUCCCUGCUUCUCCGAGCGGCGAGCGCCACCUGGAGGCUCCCUCGAGAUCUGCAUUUAGGAGGCGACGGGUCCUUUCAUCGUUUUAUUCAUUAAACAUUUAUCGAGGCCUGGAGCGAUGGUUCAAGCCUGUAAUCCCAGCACUUUGGGAGACCGAGACGGGCGGAUCACUUGAGGUCAGGAGUUGGAGACCAGCCUGGCCAACAUGGCGAAACCCCAUCUCUACUAAAAAUACAAAAAUUAGCCGGGCACGGUGGCGCACACCUGUAAUCCCAGCUACUCAUGAUGAGGCUGAGGCACAAGAAUCGCUUGAACCCGAGAGGCGGAAGUUGCAGUGAGCGGAGAUGGAGCCACUGUGUGUUAGGCUCUGGCGACGUGGGGAGAAAUAAAGAUAAUGUCUUGUUUCC
rnacentral:lncRNA from 1 species